rnacentral:lncRNA from 1 species
CUUUUGAGAAAAAAUGAAUUAGGGACGAGAUCGAAAAUAAUUUUGUGAAAAUAGGUAAAAAUUUGAGUUCUGAUGGUAUUUUUGAAAGAAAAAUUAGAAACAGGGGAUCAAAGUGUAAAUAGAAAAAGUUUGGCCACGUAGGACUGUCCAGUCAGCAGCCUCGACGAACCGUAGUGCGCUGCGUGGCAAGGUGCGCUAAUGUCGGUGCCAUGCAGGAGGCCACACAAGCGAUCCAUGUGCCUUGUGAUCGGACGACCCAAGAUCGAUCUCGCGCACGUGGAUGACCUGGAUCCAUUUUUCUCUUCGGCGUGAUCGGAGGGUUGAGAUUAAUCGUGAUGGACAGCGGAGAUCAAUGCGGGAUGGUUAUAAAUACUUCGUAACACACUAGAACUUAAACCCUAACCGCCAAUCCCCGACGGAGAAGAAGAAUCAAAUAUCGAAGAAGGAGGCCGAUCACCAACCGCCAUCGCACUGAAGCCACCACCGACUGCUAGAAAAGGUAAAAAUGUUCCCUACCCGCUCGGAAUUUGAUUCUGAGUACCCUUGUGGCCAAAUCGGAGCAAGAGAGACGACGGGUGAGCUGAAAACUGUGGGUAGAGCUCGACGGAUCCGCCGCGGCUAAAACCACAAAUUUCCUCCGAUGAGCUCCUUUCUGAUUCCCAUUUCACAUGAUUUUUUGAUUAUUAUAUUCAUU